rnacentral:rRNA from 1 species
UGGGGAAUCUUGCACAAUGGGGGCAACCCUGAUGCAGCGACGCCGCGUGAGCGAUGAAGGUUUUCGAAUCGUAAAGCUCUGUCCUAUGGGAAGAUAAUGACGGUACCAUAGGAGGAAGCCCCGGCUAAAUACGUGCCAGCAGCCGCGGUAAUACGUAUGGGGCGAGCGUUGUCCGGAAUUAUUGGGCGUAAAGGGUACGUAGGCGGUCUAUUAAGUCAGGUGUGAAAGCGUGAGGCUUAACCUCAUUAAGCACUUGAAACUGAUAGACUUGAGUGAAGGAGAGGAAAGUGGAAUUCCUAGUGUAGCGGUGAAAUGCGUAGAUAUUAGGAGGAAUACCGGUGGCGAAGGCGACUUUCUGGACUUUUACUGACGCUCAGGUACGAAAGCGUGGGGAGCAAACAGG